GAUGAACGCUGGCGGCGUGCCUAAUACAUGCAAGUCGAGCGAACGGAUGAGAAGCUUGCUUCUCUGAUGUUAGCGGCGGACGGGUGAGUAACACGUGGAUAACCUACCUAUAAGACUGGGAUAACUUCGGGAAACCGGAGCUAAUACCGGAUAAUAUUUUGAACAGCAUGGUUCAAAAGUGAAAGACGGUCUUGCUGUCACUUAUAGAUGGAUCCGCGCUGCAUUAGCUAGUUGGUAAGGUAACGGCUUACCAAGGCAACGAUGCAUAGCCGACCUGAGAGGGUGAUCGGCCACACUGGAACUGGGACACGGUCCAGACUCCUACGGGAGGCAGCAGUAGGGAAUCUUCCGCAAUGGGCGAAAGCCUGACGGAGCAACGCCGCGUGAGUGAUGAAGGUCUUCGGAUCGUAAAACUCUGUUAUUAGGGAAGAACAUAUGUGUAAGUAACUGUGCACAUCUUGACGGUACCUAAUCAGAAAGCCACGGCUAACUACGUG
rnacentral:rRNA from 1 species